CUUGGAUAUCGCGGCUCUUGUUAUUUAUUUGUCAGUAAACCUAGCAGUUGGUACAGGGCCGAGCGAUUUUGUCGAUCUAAGAAAGGUCACCUAGCAACUGUAUAUGAUAACCAUGUCCAGGCGUAUUUAGCUGCUGAAAUUACACUACAGGGUGAUCAUUAUUGGAUAGGUUUAAAUGACUACCGAUCUCCGGGUGUUUAUAAAUGGUCCAGUAGCCAACCUGUCAGUUUUACGUCAUGGGGUGAAACACAUACAGGCAAUGAACAAAAGACGUGUACAGUAAUGAGCG